rnacentral:lncRNA from 1 species
AGCAGGUGACCAAGGCAAUCAGUGCCGAAGAGAAAAGGCUCCAAGAACUCCCUUCUGUCAUUGUCGAUCUAAAACAGGAGACGCAGCAUUUGGCCCAUGAAGCCCUGAAGCUCCACCGUAGCGCGUCAGAAGUCCCCGGAUCGGCGGAUGAUGACCCACGGGUCUUGGACUCUGCCGAUCAGAUCCGGCGCCGGGCGAUUGCGGCUAUCGAUGCCCUUCUGGGUAAUCUGUAAAAGCACUGACUAUUUUGUACGAACCUUUAAUAACUGCUUUGACCGUCCUUCGCGACGCCUCUUUUAUUUAUUGCCCUUCUUACUUCCGAUGGGACGCACCCUUACCAAAUAUCCACGCCUCUUUCUCUUAUAAAUGCCGGCCUAGAUUCCCCUUUCCGAGAGUACCAGUUUGGCUUCGGCUUUAUUUUCUCAACCCAUUCUCAUCGGCGCGACCUUCUGUCAUGUCUUCGUCGUCUUCCUCUUCCUCUGUCAACCAGGUGAAACUCUGGCCUUGAUUCUCUUUCCUCUUUUUAAUUCUUUUGGGGAGGACCACCUUUUUA